AAUAGAUGACGCCGUUGAUUUUUUAUCAUGCGUUUGACUAUUCGUCUUAUUCAAAAAAUUUAUGUAAUUAUAAUUUAUUAUGUUGUGAGUUGUUUUAUCACUCAAAGUAUUUUAAGCAUGAUUCAUAUCUUAUACAUUUGCAUAAAAUUUUUGAAUAAGACGAAUGGUCAGACAUAUGUUUAAAAGUCAACGGCGUCAUCUAUU
rfam:Oryza rufipogon genomic scaffold, chr11